UUCCGGUUGAUCCUGCCGGAGGCGACCGCUAUUGGAGUUCGAUUAAGCCAUGCGAGUAGAAAGAAAUUAGAUUCUUUGCAUACUGCUCAGUAACACGUGGAUAACCUGCCCUACACUGGGGGAUAAUCUUGGGAAACUGAGAAUAAUACCCCAUAGACCACUACGCCUGGAACGGUGAGUGGUUGAAAGCUCAGGCGGUGUAGGAUGGGUCUGCGGCGUAUCAGGUCGUAGGGGGUGUAAUGGACCUCCUAGCCAUCGACGCGUACGGGUUGUGGGAGCAAUAGCCCGGAGACGGAUUCUGAGACACGAAUCCGGACCCUACGGGGUGCAGCAGGCGCGAAAACUUCGCACUGCAGGAAACUGUGAUGAGGGAACUCCAAGUGACUGCACAAUGUGUAACCUUUUCUUGAAUUUUAAUUGUUCUUGGAAUAAGGACUGGGAAAGACCGGUGCCAGCCGCCGCGGUAAUACCGGCAGCUCAAGUGGUCGUCGCUUUUAUUGGGCCUAAAACGUCCGUAGCCUGUUUGGUAAAUCUGUGGGUAAAUCAACGAGCUUAACUCGUUGAAUUCUGCAGAGACUGCCAGACUAGGGACCGGGAGAGGUGUGAGGUACUCUGGGGGUAGGGGUAAAAUCCUGUCAUCCUCAGAGGACCACCUGUUGCGAAGGCGUCACACUGGAACGGAUCCGACGGUCAGGGACGAAGCCUAGGGGCACGAACCGGAUUAGAUACCCGGGUAGUCCUAGGUGUAAACGCUGUGGAUUUGGUGUGUGGGGUCCGCAAUGGGCCCCAUGUGCCGGAGUGAAGAUGUUAAAUCCACUGCCUGGGGAGUACGGUCGCAAGGCUGAAACUUAAAGGAAUUGGCGGGGGAGCACUGCAACGGGAGGAGCGUGCGGUUUAAUUGGAUUCAACGCCGGA
rnacentral:rRNA from 1 species